rnacentral:rRNA from 1 species
UACGUAGGGGGGCAAGCGUUGUCCGGAAUCAUUGGGCGUAAAGGGUGCGUAGGCGGCGCGGUAAGUCGGGGUGUGAAAUCUCGGAGCUUAACUCCGAAACUGCAUUCGAUACUGCCGUGCUUGAGGACUGGAGAGGAGACUGGAAUUUACGGUGUAGCGGUGAAAUGCGUAGAUAUCGUAAGGAAGACCAGUGGCGAAGGCGGGGUCGCUGGACAGUUCCUGACGCUGAGGCACGAAGGUCAGGGGGAGCAAACGGGG